rnacentral:rRNA from 2 species
UGCAAGUCGAACGGAAAGGCCCCUUCGGGGGUACUCGAGUGGCGAACGGGUGAGUAACACGUGGGCAAUCUGCCCUGCACUUCGGGAUAAGCCUGGGAAACUGGGUCUAAUACCGGAUAGGACCUUUAGGCGCAUGUCUUUAGGUGGAAAGCUUUUGCGGUGUGGGAUGGGCCCGCGGCCUAUCAGCUUGUUGGUGGGGUGAUGGCCUACCAAGGCGACGACGGGUAGCCGGCCUGAGAGGGUGUCCGGCCACACUGGGACUGAGAUACGGCCCAGACUCCUACGGGAGGCAGCAGUGGGGAAUAUUGCACAAUGGGCGCAAGCCUGAUGCAGCGACGCCGCGUGGGGGAUGACGGCCUUCGGGUUGUAAACCUCUUUCACCAUCGACGAAGGUUCGGGUUUUCUCGGAUUGACGGUAGGUGGAGAAGAAGCACCGGCCAACUACGUGCCAGCAGCCGCGGUAAUACGUAGGGUGCGAGCGUUGUCCGGAAUUACUGGGCGUAAAGAGCUCGUAGGUGGUUUGUCGCGUUGUUCGUGAAAUCUCACGGCUUAACUGUGAGCGUGCGGGCGAUACGGGCAGACUAGAGUACUGCAGGGGAGACUGGAAUUCCUGGUGUAGCGGUGGAAUGCGCAGAUAUCAGGAGGAACACCGGUGGCGAAGGCGGGUCUCUGGGCAGUAACUGACGCUGAGGAGCGAAAGCGUGGGAGCGAACAGGAUUAGAUACCCUGGUAGUCCACGCCGUAAACGGUGGGUACUAAGUGUGGGUUUCCUUCCUUGGGAUCCGUGCCGUAGCUAACG